rnacentral:rRNA from 1 species
UACGUAGGGGGCAAGCGUUGUCCGGAUUUAUUGGGCGUAAAGAGCGUGUAGGCGGCUGGGUAGGUCCGUUGUGAAAACUCGAGGCUCAACCUCGAGACGCCGAUGGAAACCCUCCAGCUAGAGUCCGGAAGGGGCUACUGGAAUUCUCGGUGUAGCGGUGAAAUGCGUAGAUAUCGAGAGGAACACCUGCGGCGAAGGCGGGUAGCUGGGCCGACACUGACGCUGAUGCGCGAAAGCCAGGGGAGCGAACGGG